UACGUAGGUUGCGAGCGUUAUCCGGAUUUACUGGGCGUAAAGCGCUUGUAGGCGGUAAUAUAAGUUGGGCGUGAAACCUCUGGGCUUAACCCGGAGCAUGCGCACAAUACUGUAAUACUAGAGGGUGUCAGAGGAAAACGGAAUUCCCGGUGUAGUAGUGAAAUGCGUAGAUAUCGGGAGGAACAUCAGUGGCGAAGGCGGUUUUCUGGGACAUUACUGACGCUGAGAAGCGACAGCUAGGGGAGCAAACAGG
rnacentral:rRNA from 1 species